rnacentral:rRNA from 1 species
GGGUUGUGAGGUUAAGCGACUAAGCGUACACGGUGGAUGCCCUGGCAGUCAGAGGCGAUGAAGGACGUGCUAAUCUGCGAAAAGCGUCGGUAAGGUGAUAUGAACCGUUAUAGCCGGCGAUGUCCGAAUGGGGAAACCCAGUGUGAUUCGUCACACUAUCGUUAACUGAAUACAUAGGUUAACGAGGCGAACCGGGGGAACUGAAACAUCUAAGUACCCCGAGGAAAAGAAAUCAACCGAGAUUCCCCCAGUAGCGGCGAGCGAACGGGGAGCAGCCCAGAGUCUGAAUCAGCUUGUGUAUUAGUGGAACGGUCUGGAAAGUCCGACGGUACAGGGUGAUAGUCCCGUACACCAAAAUGCACAGGCUGUGAACUCGAAGAGUAGGGCGGGACACGUGGUAUCCUGUCUGAAUAUGGGGGGACCAUCCUCCAAGGCUAAAUACUCCUGACUGACCGAUAGUAAACCAGUACCGUGAGGGAAAGGCGAAAAGAACCCCGGCGAGGGGAGUGAAAAAGAACCUGAAACCGUGUACGUACAAGCAGUGGGAGCACCUUCGGGUGUGACUGCGUACCUUUUGUAUAAUGGGUCAGCGACUUAUAUUCUGUAGCAAGGUUAACCGUAUAGGGGAGCCGCAGGGAAACCGAGUCUUAACUGGGCGUUAAGUUGCAGGGUAUAGACCCGAAACCCGGUGAUCUAGCCAUGGGCAGGUUGAAGGUUGGGUAACACUAACUGGAGGACCGAACCGACUAAUGUUGAAAAAUUAGCGGAUGACUUGUGGCUGGGGGUGAAAGGCCAAUCAAACCGGGAGAUAGCUGGUUCUCCCCGAAAGCUAUUUAGGUAGCGCCUCGUGAACUCAUCUUCGGGGGUAGAGCACUGUUUCGGCUAGGGGGUCAUCCCGACUUACCAACCCGAUGCAAACUACGAAUACCGAAGAAUGUUAUCACGGGAGACACACGGCGGGUGCUAACGUCCGUCGUGAAGAGGGAAACAACCCAGACCGCCAGCUAAGGUCCCAAAGUCAUGGUUAAGUGGGAAACGAUGUGGGAAGGCACAGACAGCCAGGAUGUUGGCUUAGAAGCAGCCAUCAUUUAAAGAAAGCGUAAUAGCUCACUGGUCGAGUCGGCCUGCGCGGAAGAUGUAACGGGGCUAAACCAUGCACCGAAGCUGCGGCAGCGACACUAUGUGUUGUUGGGUAGGGGAGCGUUCUGUAAGCCUGCGAAGGUGACCUGUGAGGGUUGCUGGAGGUAUCAGAAGUGCGAAUGCUGACAUAAGUAACGAUAAAGCGGGUGAAAAGCCCGCUCGCCGGAAGACCAAGGGUUCCUGUCCAACGUUAAUCGGGGCAGGGUGAGUCGACCCCUAAGGCGAGGCCGAAAGGCGUAGUCGAUGGGAAACAGGUUAAUAUUCCUGUACUUGGUGUUACUGCGAAGGGGGGACGGAGAAGGCUAUGUUAGCCGGGCGACGGUUGUCCCGGUUUAAGCAUGUAGGCUGGUUGUCCAGGCAAAUCCGGAUAAUCAAGGCUGAGGUGUGAUGACGAGGUACUACGGUGCUGAAGUAACAAAUGCCCUGCUUCCAGGAAAAGCCUCUAAGCAUCAGGUAACAUCAAAUCGUACCCCAAACCGACACAGGUGGUCAGGUAGAGAAUACCAAGGCGCUUGAGAGAACUCGGGUGAAGGAACUAGGCAAAAUGGUGCCGUAACUUCGGGAGAAGGCACGCUGGUGUGUAGGUGAAGUCCCUGCGGAUGGAGCUGAGACCAGUCGAAGAUACCAGCUGGCUGCAACUGUUUAUUAAAAACACAGCACUGUGCAAACACGAAAGUGGACGUAUACGGUGUGACGCCUGCCCGGUGCCGGAAGGUUAAUUGAUGGGGUUAUCCGUAAGGAGAAGCUCUUGAUCGAAGCCCCGGUAAACGGCGGCCGUAACUAUAACGGUCCUAAGGUAGCGAAAUUCCUUGUCGGGUAAGUUCCGACCUGCACGAAUGGCGUAAUGAUGGCCAGGCUGUCUCCACCCGAGACUCAGUGAAAUUGAACUCGCUGUGAAGAUGCAGUGUACCCGCGGCAAGACGGAAAGACCCCGUGAACCUUUACUAUAGCUUGACACUGAACAUUGAGCCUUGAUGUGUAGGAUAGGUGGGAGGCUUUGAAGCGUGGACGCCAGUCUGCGUGGAGCCAACCUUGAAAUACCACCCUUUAAUGUUUGAUGUUCUAACGUUGGCCCCUGACCGGGGUUGCGGACAGUGUCUGGUGGGUAGUUUGACUGGGGCGGUCUCCUCCCAAAGCGUAACGGAGGAGCACGAAGGUUAGCUAAUCCUGGUCGGACAUCAGGAGGUUAGUGCAAUGGCAUAAGCUAGCUUGACUGCGAGCGUGACGGCGCGAGCAGGUGCGAAAGCAGGUCAUAGUGAUCCGGUGGUUCUGAAUGGAAGGGCCAUCGCUCAACGGAUAAAAGGUACUCCGGGGAUAACAGGCUGAUACCGCCCAAGAGUUCAUAUCGACGGCGGUGUUUGGCACCUCGAUGUCGGCUCAUCACAUCCUGGGGCUGAAGUAGGUCCCAAGGGUAUGGCUGUUCGCCAUUUAAAGUGGUACGCGAGCUGGGUUUAGAACGUCGUGAGACAGUUCGGUCCCUAUCUGCCGUGGGCGCUGGAGAAUUGAGGGGGGCUGCUCCUAGUACGAGAGGACCGGAGUGGACGCAUCACUGGUGUUCGGGUUGUCAUGCCAAUGGCACUGCCCGGUAGCUAAAUGCGGAAGAGAUAAGUGCUGAAAGCAUCUAAGCACGAAACUUGCCCCGAGAUGAGUUCUCCCUGAGACUUUAAGUCUCCUGAAGGAACGUUGAAGACGACGACGUUGAUAGGCCGGGUGUGUAAGCGCAGCGAUGCGUUGAGCUAACCGGUACUAAUGAACCGUGAGGCUUAACCUUACAACGCCGAAG